rfam:Treponema succinifaciens DSM 2489, complete genome.
GCCGGCUUGGUGGAAUGGUAGACACGAAAGACUCAAAAUCUUUUGCGCGCGAGCGUGUCAGAGUUCAAGUCUCUGAGCCGGUA